UACAGAGGUGGCAAGCGUUGUUCGGAUUUAUUGGGCGUAAAGGGUCCGUAGGCGGUUCGGAAAGUCAGAUGUGAAAUCCCACAGCUCAACUGUGGAACUGCAUUUGAAACUUCCGGACUAGAGUAUGAGAGGGGUAAAGGGAAUUCCCGGUGUAAGGGUGAAAUCUGCAGAGAUCGGGAGGAACACCAGUCGCGAAGGCGCUUUACUGGCUCAUUACUGACGCUCAGGGACGAAAGCUAGGGUAGCAAACGGG
rnacentral:rRNA from 1 species